rnacentral:snoRNA from 1 species
AUCCCAUGAUGAGGACACUUACGAAGUAACUCCUUAAAUCACUCCAAGCCUCAUACAAAGAAUCAUCAUCCAAUUGUUGGGAAGUUACGAUCUCGUUCCUCAACUU